CCUUAACCUACUAAAUAGGGUUGCUGGCACUUGCUGGUUAACUCUUCUUAGAGGGACUAUCGGUUUCAAGCCGAUGGAAGUUUGAGGCAAUAACAGGUCUGUGAUGCCCUUAGACGUUCUGGGCCGCACGCGCGCUACACUGACGGAGCCAGCGAGUACAACCUUGGCCGAGAGGUCUGGGUAAUCUUGUGAAACUCCGUCGUGCUGGGGAUAGAGCAUUGUAAUUAUUGCUCUUCAACGAGGAAUUCCUAGUAAGCGCAAGUCAUCAGCUUGCGUUGAUUACGUCCCUGCCCUUUGUACACACCGCCCGUCGCUAGUACCGAUUGAAUGGCUUAGUGAGGCCUCAGGAUUUGCUUAGAGAAGGGGGCAACUCCAUCUCAGAGCGAAAAAUCUGGUCAAACUUGGUCAUUUAGAGGAACUAAAAGUCG
rnacentral:rRNA from 1 species